rnacentral:tRNA from 1 species
GAGGACAUAGCUCAGUGGUAGAGUGCAUGCUUAGCAUGCACGAGAUCCUAGGUUCAAUCCCCAGUAACUCCA